AUUGAACGCUGGCGGCAUGCUUUACACAUGCAAGUCGAACGGCAGCGGGGGCUUCGGCCUGCCGGCGAGUGGCGAACGGGUGAGUAAUGCAUCGGAACGUGCCCAUGUCGUGGGGGAUAACGUAGCGAAAGCUACGCUAAUACCGCAUACGCCCUGAGGGGGAAAGCGGGGGAUUCUUCGGAACCUCGCGCGAUUGGAGCGGCCGAUGUCGGAUUAGCUAGUAGGUGAGGUAAAGGCUCACCUAGGCGACGAUCCGUAGCGGGUCUGAGAGGAUGAUCCGCCACACUGGGACUGAGACACGGUCCAGACUCCUACGGGAGGCAGCAGUAGGGAAUAUUGGACAAUGGGGGCAACCCUGAUCCAGCCAUGCCGCGUGAGUGAAGAAGGCCCUCGGGUUGUAAAGCUCUUUUGUCCGGAAAGAAAAGCAUCUGGUUAAUACCCGGGUGUUCUGACGGUACCGGAAGAAUAAGCACCGGCUAACUUCGUGCCAGCAGCCGCGGUAA
rnacentral:rRNA from 1 species